AUGGAACUAUUGAACAAUAAAUUCUGCCUGGAAGCAGGAAUUGCGGAAUACAGUGCAAGGGAUCCCCGAUACUCUAUUUCAAAAGUUAUUGGAGCUAUACAAAGAAUCUUGAUUUAUAGAAGUAUACAGGUUUAAAAAAAAAGAAAACAGUGUUGUAAAGAAAGAAAAGGAUUUUACAUUCAAAGAAUUAUGGAUGGCACAGAGAAAUGCCUAUGGAUGACGUCAUAACCAAUUUUGAAAAAUGUUUUGUUUGAAAGAAAAGGAUCUGAAGAAGGAGACAGAUCUUUUUAAAUUCGGAUGGAUUUAUAGACUGCCAGACUUAUUGCUAUCACUUAAUUCUGUACUACUAGAUCUUUUACACUGAGCCUAUAAGUUUUAGACUAGAUGAUUUAUCUAAUUUGAGAAUCCAUGACAUCAAUCUUUAAGCAUUUCAAGAUUACCAAUACAGAAUAUGUACAGAUGCAAUAGCAGAUGAAAUCCCACAUGUACAUACACAAACAGGACACUGAUAUGUUACUGAAAUUUAGAGAUAUUUCAUUUCUCUCUUGUGCGGAUUGAAAUUGAUCUAAGAAAAAAAAAAGGUUUAUGUCAGACUGAAACAAUAUAAUAAACAAUUUUCUUUAA